rnacentral:rRNA from 2 species
UCAGGAUGAACGCUGGCGGCGUGCCUAAUACAUGCAAGUCGAGCGAACAGACGAGGAGCUUGCUCCUCUGACGUUAGCGGCGGACGGGUGAGUAACACGUGGGUAACCUACCUAUAAGACUGGGAUAACUCCGGGAAACCGGRGCUAAUACCGGAUAAUAUUUUGAACCGCAUGGUUCAAAAGUGAAAGAUGGUUUUGCUAUCACUUAUAGAUGGACCCGCGCCGUAUUAGCUAGUUGGUAAGGUAACGGCUUACCAAGGCGACGAUACGUAGCCGACCUGAGAGGGUGAUCGGCCACACUGGAACUGAGACACGGUCCAGACUCCUACGGGAGGCAGCAGUAGGGAAUCUUCCGCAAUGGGCGAAAGCCUGACGGAGCAACGCCGCGUGAGUGAUGAAGGUCUUCGGAUCGUAAAACUCUGUUAUUAGGGAAGAACAUACGUGUAAGUAACUGUGCACGUCUUGACGGUACCUAAUCAGAAAGCCACGGCUAACUACGUGCCAGCAGCCGCGGUAAUACGUAGGU